rnacentral:rRNA from 1 species
GACGAACGCUGGCGGCAAGCUUAACACAUGCAAGUCGAACGCCGUAGCAAUACGGAGUGGCAGACGGGUGAGUAACACGUGGGAACGUGCCUUCCGGUUCGGAACAACGGAGGGAAACUUCCGCUAACACCGGAUACGCCCUUCGCGGGAAAGUUUACGCCGAAAGAUCGGCCCGCGUCAGAUUAGGUAGUUGGCGGGGUAAUGGCCCACCAAGCCGAUGAUCUGGAGCUGUGCUGAGAGGAAGAUCAGCCACACUGGGACUGAGACACGGCCCAGACUCCUACGGGAGGCAGCAGUGGGGAAUAUUGGACAAUGGGCGCAAGCCUGAUCCAGCUAUGCCGCGUGGAUGAAGAAGGCCUUCGGGUUGUAAAGUCCUUUCGGCGGGGAAGAUGAUGACGGUACCCGCAGAAGAAGCCCCGGCUAAUUUCGUGCCAGCCGCCGCCGUAAGAC